rnacentral:lncRNA from 1 species
CUGGUCACAGUGAGUGAGUCCUUGUCCUGUUGAUGAAUGGACAGAAUGGACGCAUUGAUUGGACACAUGAUUCCCCAUCUGACACUUCAUGACUCCAUGGCUGGGACACUUAGGGUGCCCCUCUUGCUGAAAAAGAGCAACCUUCGCCCACACACCUUCUCUCUGCCACUCGGCUGGUUUUCAGCUCACGUCUGUGUUGCGGGCCUUCCCUUCAGUCUGAAAUGACAGGAGAGGUAAAUGGUUCCAAUGUGGCACUCCCUGACUGUCUCUUUCCAGCAAGGAUUGGCAUGAAAUUCCAUAAUAUAAUGAAAGUAAAACCCAGACCUUUGAAGACUGUCUUAAAGGAGAAGGUCAUGGUAAGAAGGGUUCCUGGAACUCAGGGCUCUGAUUUUUCUUCUGGAAACUCCUUUUGCAAAUUUCUUUCUGAUGUCCAUCACCUCGGCCAGUUCAGCAUAAUGGGGACCUUUUCACUCUCAGACCCUUCCUUUCACAUCCCUUCCAUACAACCCUGCAGCAAGGCCCAAGGCUCUCAUUCAUUGUUUCAAAAAAUGUUAAAUAACC